GGGUUGUGAGGUUAAGCGACUAAGCGUACACGGUGGAUGCCCUGGCAGUCAGAGGCGAUGAAGGACGUGCUAAUCUGCGAUAAGCGCCGGUAAGGUGAUAUGAACCGUUAUAACCGGCGAUUUCCGAAUGGGGAAACCCAGUGUGAUUCGUCACACUAUCAUUAACUGAAUCCAUAGGUUAAUGAGGCGAACCGGGGGAACUGAAACAUCUAAGUACCCCGAGGAAAAGAAAUCAACCGAGAUUCCCCCAGUAGCGGCGAGCGAACGGGGAGGAGCCCAGAGCCUGAAUCAGCAUGUGUGUUAGUGGAAGCGUCUGGAAAGGCGCGCGAUACAGGGUGACAGCCCCGUACACAAAAGCGCAUGUGCUGUGAGCUCGAUGAGUAGGGCGGGACACGUGGUAUCCUGUCUGAAUAUGGGGGGACCAUCCUCCAAGGCUAAAUACUCCUGACUGACCGAUAGUGAACCAGUACCGUGAGGGAAAGGCGAAAAGAACCCCGGCGAGGGGAGUGAAAAAGAACCUGAAACCGUGUACGUACAAGCAGUGGGAGCACCCUUUUGGGUGUGACUGCGUACCUUUUGUAUAAUGGGUCAGCGACUUAUAUUCUGUAGCAAGGUUAACCGCAUAGGGGAGCCGGAGGGAAACCGAGUCUUAAUUGGGCGUUAAGUUGCAGGGUAUAGACCCGAAACCCGGUGAUCUAGCCAUGGGCAGGUUGAAGGUUGGGUAACACUAACUGGAGGACCGAACCGACUAAUGUUGAAAAAUUAGCGGAUGACCUGUGGCUGGGGGUGAAAGGCCAAUCAAACCGGGAGAUAGCUGGUUCUCCCCGAAAGCUAUUUAGGUAGCGCCUCGUGAAUUCAUCUCCGGGGGUAGAGCACUGUUUCGGCUAGGGGGCCAUCCCGGCUUACCAACCCGAUGCAAACUGCGAAUACCGGAGAAUGUUAUCACGGGAGACACACGGCGGGUGCUAACGUCCGUCGUGAAGAGGGAAACAACCCAGACCGCCAGCUAAGGUCCCAAAGUCAUGGUUAAGUGGGAAACGAUGUGGGAAGGCCCAGACAGCCAGGAUGUUGGCUUAGAAGCAGCCAUCAUUUAAAGAAAGCGUAAUAGCUCACUGGUCGAGUCGGCCUGCGCGGAAGAUGUAACGGGGCUAAACCAUGCACCGAAGCUGCGGCAGCGACGCUUAUGCGUUGUUGGGUAGGGGAGCGUUCUGUAAGCCUGCGAAGGUGGCCUGUGAGGGUUGCUGGAGGUAUCAGAAGUGCGAAUGCUGACAUAAGUAACGAUAAAGCGGGUGAAAAGCCCGCUCGCCGGAAGACCAAGGGUUCCUGUCCAACGUUAAUCGGGGCAGGGUGAGUCGACCCCUAAGGCGAGGCCGAAAGGCGUAGUCGAUGGGAAACGGGUUAAUAUUCCCGUACUUGGUGUUACUGCGAAGGGGGGACGGAGAAGGCUAUGUUGGCCGGGCGACGGUUGUCCCGGUUUAAGCGUGUAGGUGUGUGUUCCAGGUAAAUCCGGUUCACUUUAACACUGAGGCGUGACGACGAGGCACUACGGUGCUGAAGCAACAAAUGCCCUGCUUCCAGGAAAAGCCUCUAAGCAUCAGGUAACAUCAAAUCGUACCCCAAACCGACACAGGUGGUCAGGUAGAGAAUACCAAGGCGCUUGAGAGAACUCGGGUGAAGGAACUAGGCAAAAUGGUGCCGUAACUUCGGGAGAAGGCACGCUGACACGUAGGUGAAGUGAUUUACUCA
rnacentral:rRNA from 1 species